GAAAUGCGAUAAGUAGUGUGAAUUGCAGAAUUCAGUGAAUCAUCGAAUCUUUGAACGCACAUUGCGCCCCUUGGUAUUCCAUGGGGCAUGCCUGUUCGAGCGUCAUUUGUACCCUCAAGCUCUGCUUGGUAUUGGGUGUUUGUCCCGUCUCCGCGCGUGGACUCGCCCCAAAGUGAUUGGCAGCCGGCGUACUGGUCCCGGAGCGCAGCACAUGUCGCGCAAACGAGUGCCUUGGUACGGCGGCGUCCAUAAGCCCCUCUCUCACGCUCUUGACCUCGGAUCAGGUAGGGAUACCCGCUGAACUUAAGC
rnacentral:misc_RNA from 1 species